rnacentral:rRNA from 2 species
UGCAAGUCGAGCGGUAGCACAGGGAGCUUGCUCCUGGGUGACGAGCGGCGGACGGGUGAGUAAUGUCUGGGAAACUGCCUGAUGGAGGGGGAUAACUACUGGAAACGGUAGCUAAUACCGCAUAAUGUCUACGGACCAAAGUGGGGGACCUUCGGGCCUCAUGCCAUCAGAUGUGCCCAGAUGGGAUUAGCUAGUAGGUGGGGUAAUGGCUCACCUAGGCGACGAUCCCUAGCUGGUCUGAGAGGAUGACCAGCCACACUGGAACUGAGACACGGUCCAGACUCCUACGGGAGGCAGCAGUGGGGAAUAUUGCACAAUGGGCGCAAGCCUGAUGCAGCCAUGCCGCGUGUGUGAAGAAGGCCUUCGGGUUGUAAAGCACUUUCAGCGAGGAGGAAGGGUUCAGUGUUAAUAGCACUGUGCAUUGACGUUACUCGCAGAAAAAACACCGGCUAACUCCGUGCCAGCAGCCGCGGUAAUACGGAGGGUGCAAGCGUUAAUCGGAAUUACUGGGCGUAAAGCGCACGCAGGCGGUUUGUUAAGUCAGAUGUGAAAUCCCCGCGCUUAACGUGGGAACUGCAUUUGAAACUGGCAAGCUAGAGUCUUGU